rnacentral:rRNA from 1 species
UACGAAGGGGGCGAGCGUUGUUCGGAAUCACUGGGCGUAAAGGGCGCGUAGGCGGCCCUCCUUGUCGCGUGUGAAAGCCCCGGGCUCAACCUGGGAACGGCGCGCGAGACGGGGGGGCUGGAGUUCGGGAGAGGAGCGUGGAAUUCCCAGUGUAGAGGUGAAAUUCGUAGAUAUUGGGAAGAACACCGGUGGCGAAAGGCGGCGCUCUGGACCGAGACUGACGCUGAGGCGCGAAAGCGUGGGAGCAAACAGG